GGCGAAUCGGCUUGCCCUGGGAUUGUAAAUGAUUAUACAUCUGUAUUGGCAAAAAAAUUUGGUGCUGCUUUGGUUUCCCUUGAGCAUCGAUACUAUGGGAAGAGUUCCCCUUACAGUGAUCUGACCACAGAAAACCUAAGAUACCUGUCUUCGAAGCAGGCUCUAUAUGACUUGGCUGUUUUUCGCGAGUAUUAUCAGGAACAUUUGAACACAAAAUACAAUCUUUCAAAAGUUGAGAACUCCUGGUUUGUUUUCGGUGUUUCAUACUCUGGAGCACUUAGUGCCUGGUUCCGU
rnacentral:misc_RNA from 1 species